rnacentral:rRNA from 1 species
GAUGAACGCUGGCGGCGUGCCUAAUACAUGCAAGUCGAGCGAACAGACGAGGAGCUUGCUCCUCUGACGUUAGCGGCGGACGGGUGAGUAACACGUGGAUAACCUACCUAUAAGACUGGGAUAACUUCGGGAAACCGGAGCUAAUACCGGAUAAUAUAUUGAACCGCAUGGUUCAAUAGUGAAAGACGGUUUUGCUGUCACUUAUAGAUGGAUCCGCGCCGCAUUAGCUAGUUGGUAAGGUAACGGCUUACCAAGGCAACGAUGCGUAGCCGACCUGAGAGGGUGAUCGGCCACACUGGAACUGAGACACGGUCCAGACUCCUACGGGAGGCAGCAGUAGGGAAUCUUCCGCAAUGGGCGAAAGCCUGACGGAGCAACGCCGCGGGAGUGAUGAAGGUCUUCGGAUCGUAAAACGCUGUUAUUAGGGAAGAACAAAUGUGUAAGUAACGAUGCACGUCUUGACGGUACCGAAUCAGAAAGCCACGGCUAACUACGU